rnacentral:tRNA from 1 species
GCGGGUAUCGUAUAAUGAUUAUUACUCCUGCCUUCCAAGCAGGUGAUGCGGGUUUGAUUCCCGCUACCCGCUCCA